GGGUUGUGAGGUUAAGCGACUAAGCGUACACGGUGGAUGCCCUGGCAGUCAGAGGCGAUGAAGGACGUGCUAAUCUGCGAUAAGCGUCGGUAAGGUGAUAUGAACCGUUAUAACCGGCGAUUUCCGAAUGGGGAAACCCAGUGUGUUUCGACACACUAUCAUUAACUGAAUCCAUAGGUUAAUGAGGCGAACCGGGGGAACUGAAACAUCUAAGUACCCCGAGGAAAAGAAAUCAACCGAGAUUCCCCCAGUAGCGGCGAGCGAACGGGGAGCAGCCCAGAGCCUGAAUCAGUGUGUGUGUUAGUGGAAGCGUCUGGAAAGGCGCGCGAUACAGGGUGACAGCCCCGUACACAAAAAUGCACAUGCUGUGAGCUCGAUGAGUAGGGCGGGACACGUGGUAUCCUGUCUGAAUAUGGGGGGACCAUCCUCCAAGGCUAAAUACUCCUGACUGACCGAUAGUGAACCAGUACCGUGAGGGAAAGGCGAAAAGAACCCCGGCGAGGGGAGUGAAAAAGAACCUGAAACCGUGUACGUACAAGCAGUGGGAGCACGCUUAGGCGUGUGACUGCGUACCUUUUGUAUAAUGGGUCAGCGACUUAUAUUCUGUAGCAAGGUUAACCGAAUAGGGGAGCCGAAGGGAAACCGAGUCUUAACUGGGCGUUAAGUUGCAGGGUAUAGACCCGAAACCCGGUGAUCUAGCCAUGGGCAGGUUGAAGGUUGGGUAACACUAACUGGAGGACCGAACCGACUAAUGUUGAAAAAUUAGCGGAUGACUUGUGGCUGGGGGUGAAAGGCCAAUCAAACCGGGAGAUAGCUGGUUCUCCCCGAAAGCUAUUUAGGUAGCGCCUCGUGAACUCAUCUCCGGGGGUAGAGCACUGUUUCGGCAAGGGGGUCAUCCCGACUUACCAACCCGAUGCAAACUGCGAAUACCGGAGAAUGUUAUCACGGGAGACACACGGCGGGUGCUAACGUCCGUCGUGAAGAGGGAAACAACCCAGACCGCCAGCUAAGGUCCCAAAGUCAUGGUUAAGUGGGAAACGAUGUGGGAAGGCCCAGACAGCCAGGAUGUUGGCUUAGAAGCAGCCAUCAUUUAAAGAAAGCGUAAUAGCUCACUGGUCGAGUCGGCCUGCGCGGAAGAUGUAACGGGGCUAAACCAUGCACCGAAGCUGCGGCAGCGACGCUUAUGCGUUGUUGGGUAGGGGAGCGUUCUGUAAGCCUGUGAAGGUGUACUGUGAGGUAUGCUGGAGGUAUCAGAAGUGCGAAUGCUGACAUAAGUAACGAUAAAGCGGGUGAAAAGCCCGCUCGCCGGAAGACCAAGGGUUCCUGUCCAACGUUAAUCGGGGCAGGGUGAGUCGACCCCUAAGGCGAGGCCGAAAGGCGUAGUCGAUGGGAAACAGGUUAAUAUUCCUGUACUUGGUGUUACUGCGAAGGGGGGACGGAGAAGGCUAUGUUGGCCGGGCGACGGUUGUCCCGGUUUAAGCGUGUAGGCUGGUUUUCCAGGCAAAUCCGGAAAAUCAAGGCUGAGGCGUGAUGACGAGGCACUACGGUGCUGAAGCAACAAAUGCCCUGCUUCCAGGAAAAGCCUCUAAGCAUCAGGUAACAUCAAAUCGUACCCCAAACCGACACAGGUGGUCAGGUAGAGAAUACCAAGGCGCUUGAGAGAACUCGGGUGAAGGAACUAGGCAAAAUGGUGCCGUAACUUCGGGAGAAGGCACGCUGAUAUGUAGGUGAAGCGACUUGCUCGUGGAGCUGAAAUCAGUCGAAGAUACCAGCUGGCUGCAACUGUUUAUUAAAAACACAGCACUGUGCAAACACGAAAGUGGACGUAUACGGUGUGACGCCUGCCCGGUGCCGGAAGGUUAAUUGAUGGGGUCAGCGCAAGCGAAGCUCUUGAUCGAAGCCCCGGUAAACGGCGGCCGUAACUAUAACGGUCCUAAGGUAGCGAAAUUCCUUGUCGGGUAAGUUCCGACCUGCACGAAUGGCGUAAUGAUGGCCAGGCUGUCUCCACCCGAGACUCAGUGAAAUUGAACUCGCUGUGAAGAUGCAGUGUACCCGCGGCAAGACGGAAAGACCCCGUGAACCUUUACUAUAGCUUGACACUGAACAUUGAGCCUUGAUGUGUAGGAUAGGUGGGAGGCUUUGAAGUGUGGACGCCAGUCUGCAUGGAGCCGACCUUGAAAUACCACCCUUUAAUGUUUGAUGUUCUAACGUUGACCCGUAAUCCGGGUUGCGGACAGUGUCUGGUGGGUAGUUUGACUGGGGCGGUCUCCUCCUAAAGAGUAACGGAGGAGCACGAAGGUUGGCUAAUCCUGGUCGGACAUCAGGAGGUUAGUGCAAUGGCAUAAGCCAGCUUGACUGCGAGCGUGACGGCGCGAGCAGGUGCGAAAGCAGGUCAUAGUGAUCCGGUGGUUCUGAAUGGAAGGGCCAUCGCUCAACGGAUAAAAGGUACUCCGGGGAUAACAGGCUGAUACCGCCCAAGAGUUCAUAUCGACGGCGGUGUUUGGCACCUCGAUGUCGGCUCAUCACAUCCUGGGGCUGAAGUAGGUCCCAAGGGUAUGGCUGUUCGCCAUUUAAAGUGGUACGCGAGCUGGGUUUAGAACGUCGUGAGACAGUUCGGUCCCUAUCUGCCGUGGGCGCUGGAGAACUGAGGGGGGCUGCUCCUAGUACGAGAGGACCGGAGUGGACGCAUCACUGGUGUUCGGGUUGUCAUGCCAAUGGCACUGCCCGGUAGCUAAAUGCGGAAGAGAUAAGUGCUGAAAGCAUCUAAGCACGAAACUUGCCCCGAGAUGAGUUCUCCCUGACUCCUUGAGAGUCCUGAAGGAACGUUGAAGACGACGACGUUGAUAGGCCGGGUGUGUAAGCGCAGCGAUGCGUUGAGCUAACCGGUACUAAUGAACCGUGAGGCUUAACCUUACAACGCCGAAGCUGUU
rnacentral:rRNA from 1 species